GCACUGUGGCAGAAAGAGAGAGGACAGAGCCACAGGCAGCUGGAGCAGCUGGGCAUGGCCUCUGGCAGAGGCCUGAGGCAUAACUGGCUGCACCUGAUGAGCAACUGAGAUUGCAGCCUGUGGGCCACCAUGCUGACUGUUUACAUACGCAUAAUCAGAGGGAAGGGGGAAAGAUUUGGGAGAGAAACACCAGAGAAAAACCCAAGAAGCCACAAGACCCAGACGAGAAUCAGCGAUCUGGUAAUGACUGGGUGUGCUGUGAGGCUGGUGUUUAUCCCAGACAGAGCUGAUGCUGAUCACCCGUAGAAGACAAAGAAAUAGUAACACAUGGACAGUUUCAAGGUUGAUCAUGCUCGCCUGGCUUCUUGAAGAUUCUUUACAAGAUACAGUGAGGGUAACAAAUUCACGCCAUAGAGACCAUUGCAAGGUGUGGGUUAUCGAGGGCUCCACCAGUAGCUGUGUGUGGCCUGCCUUUCCCUAGCUAUAUCCCCCAGGCAGGGUCCCCGAAUCUUAAAUUACUCAUCCAGAGCCACCGUGAGGUAUUUGUGAAUAACCUGUAACAAAUAUCCAAAGGAACAUCAUGGUGACAAAGACACUGAGCCUUCAAAGAACACACGUGACACGAUUCAUGAUUUACAAACACAUGUUUCGUUUUAUUUUAGUGUGUGUCGAUGUGUGCACUCAGGUACACAUUUGGGUGUGAGUAUACAUGGAACAUGUGUGCAUGUACCUCUAAAGGUAAGAGGAAAACUUUGGGUGUUGCUACCCAGUACUACCCACCCUGCGGCGUUUUGUUUUGUUUUUAUUUUUACUUUCAUCUAUGUGUGCUGUAUUAUAUCAUCCCACCCCAUCCUCUUCCCUCAACCCUCCUGUACUUCUCUCCACUCACCCUUGAAUUCCUAGCUCCUUUUUCUUUAUUAUUAUAACACACACACAUACAAAUACACAGAGACACACAGAUAUACAUACAUACACAGACACACAGACACACACACACAGACACACACACACAGAUACACACACAUACACAGACACACAGACACACACACACAGACACACAGACACACACACACAGACACACAUACAAAUACACAGAGACACACAGAUAUACAUACAUACACAGACACACAGACACACAGACACAGAUACACACACAUACACAGACACAUACAAAUACACAGAGAGACACAGAUAUACAUACAUACACAGACACACAGACACACACACACACACAGACACACAGACACAGAUACACACACAUACACAGACACAUACAAAUACACAGAGAGACACAGAUAUACAUACAUACACAGACACACACAUAUAUACAUACACACAUAUAUACAUACAUACAUACAUACAAACAUACAUACACAGAGAGACACACACUUAAACACACACAUACAUAUACACAUAUACACACAUACAUACACAUACACAGAGAGACACACACUUAAACACACACAU
ensembl:lncRNA